rnacentral:misc_RNA from 1 species
AAAAAAAAACUUACAGCUACAGUAGCUAAUUAAUUAAACAGAUAUAUAUCCUAGAUUAUUCUUAUAGGAUUCAAAUUUCAGGGACUACAAAUAUGUUACAAGCCUGAGUGAUAAUAGAAUAUGUUACAAGCCUGAGUGAUAAUAGGUCUACUCCUAUGGGCUCUUCCCCUAUUGCUCCAUAUCUUGCAGUGUAUAAAUUGCUAUAUAACACGCACACUGACUGUAUGUAAUCUGUAUGUCCUUUUAAUCCAAAUUAUUACACAUUGUCAGUGGAGACCAGAGACAAAAGUUACUCCAGUAGAAGGCAGCCAAGAUGUUCCAGCAAUAAAAUUGCCAACAGUAAACUUGACAGCCUCUUCAACUCCAAUUACAUGAAAUCCAGGCCAAUUUACCCUCCUGGAAGUUCCUGCUCCAGGGCCUGUAUUUGAGAACUCUGCAAAGUAGAGUGUUUUAGCAUAGGAUCCUGCACCAGGCCACUCGACCCAACCCCUCGAUGAAAUAGCAUCAUCUAUGCUCGAUUCCAUUACCACUGAUCUUGAAUACUGCUUCCAGGGCCUUCCUAGAUAUGAAUUGAAGCUGUGCUUAAUCGGAGAAAAAUCCGAGCUCGCUGCGAUCCUGCAAUUCUGUAUAGAAAAUCCAGUGCUCUGUCCAGGGUCUGUCCUUCCAUGAGCUAGAAUUACAUUGUAGGCUCCCCCAUGUGGCCGGCGAAGCACCAAGUAGCAAUUCUGGAAAACAGCAGCUGCGUUGCCGAAAAUGAAGUCAACGGUGCCAUGAAUGUCGCAUUCUCUGUAGAAUUGACGAAGUGCAAGUGCAUAUAAGGUGUCUUGGUAGCCUGCGAUGCUGCAUCUAUAUAGAGCUGAAUGAUCAGAGGCGAUGUAUAGAGCCAACGCUUGUUUUCCUCCAGGUCCUGCAGUGUUCUGAAAUCCAAUGUCACGAGCUAUAAAUCCAUCGCCUGUAAUUGUGAAUGUGGCAGAGUCAGGCAUGGAGGAACCUCCAGCUACACUGUCAUCACCAGCAAUGAUAGUAGAGUACUUGCCAUCUCCUAUCAAGGUAAUACCAUCUUUAUUGGUGCGAAUUUUCUCCUUGUAAACUCCUAACUUCACAUAAAUCACAAACCGACCCCCACCGGCAGCUUUGAUAGCUUCUGAAAUCGUUUUAUAGUUGCCUGUUCCGUCUUUUGCAACCACAGCAUUCGCCUUAAUGGUGCCACUCUGGAGGAUUUUUCGAUCUUUCGCCGAUACCCACUUGGGAAAAUCCUCUACUUGCCCGUCUAGAGGUCUACUUCUGGUGUUGUUUUUAAGCUUAACAUUAUUACUAGUAAUCCUGUUUACAAGAGCUAAAGGGUUGCUGGUCAAUUGGGAGAGAUAAUCCAUUUUGCUAGAAAUUUUGGAGUUGAGAACACCGGCGGUUGAAUCUUUGCAGGCUUGUUGGAAGGUCAGGGCUGCACUUAGCCAGGUUUGGAUGUCGUUCUUGUUCUUUCUUGGAGAUUCCUUCAGUGCCAACAGCGACCUGUCUAGCUGUUUCAGUGACAUCUUCAUGAGCUUUUCACAAUAAUCUGUGGAGGAUUUAGCAAGUUGAGCAUCUUGGAUUUCCAAUUGGGAGCUGAGUGUUUGGAAGUAGGUGCUUGGCAGAUUGGUCUCUGAAAUUGUCUUGUUAACAAGAGCAGAUAUAAUAUGAAGAGGAUGAUCCUUCAACUAAGGUAUUUUGACACAGGCUAGGGUAACGAGUAAAGCUGCAUUCCCUUUGGACCCGUGUUUGGAAAUUGACAUUCAGGGGAACACCCCAUGAAAAGGAGGCCCCUAGGGCAGAUCCUAGUAGCCAAAAAACC